AGUCUCCCUUCAUGUGUCCUGUACCUUGCUGUCCCCUUUCUCAUCACCCCUUGCCUCACACCUCACUCCAUUACGCUCCGCUCCACACCCCCCCUCGCGCCCCCCUCACAGAUGCUUCCAUGGCGCCGGUUAUGUUUAUUUAAUCCGUAGCUUCUUAUUUUGUGUACGUUUCCGCUUUUUGUGUCCUGUCUGUCCUGUAGUCGCGCUUUUGUCGUAGAAUUAAUCUCUGGUUGUCGUUGAUUCUUGUCCUGUCUCUGUUUUUGUACUGUUGAUGCAUAGUUUCUGACGUAACUUGUGGUAGUUGUAACACUGCCUUGCUCAGUGGUGGCCUCAUGUAGUGGUAUGGACUAAUGUAUAUGAUGUACAGCCUGCCGCUAUCCAUUACCAGCCCAUUACUCAACCAUUGACUCACCUCACAUACUAAUACAAGUAGUUCCAUUUGUCUCCAGCACUCAUAUGACCCACUGGUAUAUAGAAAAAACUCCCACUCAUAAAUAGUUCCUUAGUCUCUGUAUGGGAUGGACAUAAGGAGCCAAAACUAGACCAGGGCAAGUUGAAGAGAUGCUCAGUGUAAUUCUUUCCCCUUUGGAUUGGAAUGUGCUGACCAGAUGAUGCAUUAUGGAAGAUGUGUUUUUUAUCAUUAUGGAAAGAGAGAGAAAUAUAUAGCUAAAGGGAAGUAUAGCUUUAUUUUCUAGAUUCUUAUUCUUAUUCGUAUUGUUACCGAGAGUUUUGAGGUUUAUACAAAAGAGCAAAUUCAAGCAAAAGGGGAGUAUUACAUGUUAUAAGACAGUCCUGCUUGUCCAUCCCAUCUGUUACACGAGGUAAACAAACACGCUCAGGACUAACACACAAUAAACGCCACGCACUGUAUAUACGACACAAUGGUUUGCCACACCACACGAACUUUAAGCACAUUAUUUUGACCACCAGAGGGCUAAAGACGACCUGAUGUUUAUUAGCCUUCACACCCUCACGCCCAUCCACCCCCACCUCUCCCUGUGUGUGUGUGUGUGUGUGUGUGUUAAUGGGGUAUAUAAUUUUUCUGUGUGUUUGUGUUUAUCUUGUUUUAACUUUAUUUCCUCCUUCUUUAUUUAGUUAUUUCACUCUUAAUGGGAAUGGUGGCUUUUGAAAGUGUAUUAAAUUUACCUUCAUGUUGUUUUAUUUUGUGGUUUUUAUUUAUGUUUUGGUUCACUAAAAAGACAAUAUCAAACUAGUGACUAAUAUUGAAGAAAAAGUAUAUUGUUCAUGUGGAAAGUUAGUGAUAGAUUAUGUACAUUGAGGGAAGGUUUAUCAGAGUCUCCCUCAUCAUCUUACUCAGUUUAGUAUUUCUGGGAAGCAAUUACUAUUUCAUUUUUCAUAUAUAUACAGGUCCUUGAUAUGCGGAGGUUUUCUGUACAUGGAUAGAACCUAACUUAACACGUCAUAAGUAGUUUAUUAAAUAUAGGGUUCCCUGCAUUUCAUAUUUUUUAGAGUUUGUGGUACAGAAGCCUUGUCAAACUCCCACCGUGGUCAAAAACUACCACAGGAUUGAAAGAGAAGUAUAUAGCAUAAAUUAAGUGCAGGGAACCCUAUAUUUAACCCGGUAGCUGCGGGGAUCAUGUUUCUUAAAUGUCCCUCUAAGCGAGAAAAAUGAGAAAAAAAUCAUCACUCACGCAAACCAUUUUAGAAUAUAUAUCAACGCAUUUGUGAUCAGUUUAUGCAUCAUCUAUUUUUUGGGGUUUAUAUCAUGGCAAAAAUUUGGCCUGUUGCUGGUACACGGUAAAGCCACAACUCAACUCCUAUGCGAGCCAUGUCAAAUGUGUGUCAAAUAAUAUAGCCCUCGGUCACUUCACUAUAGAUCUCUUUCAAUAUGGUAUAAGAUAGUAUGGUUCUGUUAUAGUUCAAAAUGAUUCUCUUCAGUAUUCCCUAAGCCAUCAUAACCUCAUCAUUAGUUUGUUAAAUAUAGGGUUCCCUGCACUUAAUCUUUGCUAUAUACUUCUCGUUCAAUAUAGUUUAACCGUGUAGCAGCGACGGGACAAAUCCGUGCCAUGAUAUAAACCCCCCAAAAUAGAUGAUGCAUAAACUGAUCACAAAUGCAUUUAUAUAUAUAUUAUAAAAUGGUUUGCGUGAGUGAUUUUUUUCUCAUUUUUCUCGCUUAGAGGGACCUUUAAUAAACAUGAUCCCCGCAGCUACCGGGUUAAAUAUAGGGUUCCCUGCACUUAAUCUAUGCUAUAUACUUCUCAUUCUAUAUAGUUUAAAAUAGAUUAGUUCUCUUAUAGUUCAAAAUACUUCUCUUCACUAUACCCUAAGCCGCACUGACACCCCCCAUCAACACCACUACACCCACACUUGUAUAUAUAUCCUACACCCAAAUGACUAUGCUGUGAUAUAUUAAUUGAUCCCAUAAUUAAGCCCACCCUGUUAUGCUUCUUUAUGAGGCUUAACCUUGAUUGUAUAGAGGUAAUUGGUCCCUUAAUUCCACCCCAUUAUGCCCUUGGAAGUCAUUCAACCUACUUAUUGUAUAGUUAAUUGGUCCUUUAAUUGAUUGUGCCCCAUUUUGCUCUCUUGUCUGAGGCGUAAGUUUAAUUGUACGGGGUUGAUUUUUCCCUUAAUUCCACCCCUUCGCUCUCAGAAGUAAUUUUGAACGUAUCUGUGAGGCUUGAUUUUAAUUGUAUAGUUAAUUGGUCCUUUGAUUCUGCUCUAUUUUACUCCCUUACUUAUGAGGCUUAACCUGAAUUGUAUAGAGGUAAUUGGUUCCUUAAUUAUACCCCCUCCCUCUCAGAAGUCAUUUUUAACAUAUCUGUGAGGCUUGAUUUUAAAUAUAUAGUUAAUUGGUCCUUUGAUUCUGCCCCAUUUUACUCCCUUACUUAUGAGGCUUAACCUUAAUUGUAUAGAGGUAAUUGGUUCCUUAAUUACACCCCCUCCCUCUCACAAGUCAUUUUUAACCCCCUUAUGAGGCUUGAUUUUAAUUAUAUCAAGUUAAUCGGUCUCUAAUUCCACCCCAUCCCUCUAAGAAGUCAUUUAAUCUACGUACGAGGCUUGAGUUUAAUUAUGUCAAGUUAAUAUGUCCUUUUUUCCACCCUAAUAUCCUCCCAGAAAUUAUUAAACAUACUUACAAGCCUUAGUUUUAAUUGUAUAAACUUGGAUAAUCCCUAAUUCCACCCUAUUGUGCUCCAAGAGUAAUUAAAACCUACUUAUCCGAUGCUUAACUUCACAUGUAUAAAGUAAUGGAAGGUAUUGGAUCAUGUCAUUGAAUCCUAAUUGUGUCUUGAAUGUAUUACUCACAUUAUACUUAUCCUCCUUAUUCUUAUUAUUAUGUAUUUUUAGCUAUUGUGUCUAUGUUAAUGUUUUUGUUUAUGGCAUUCAGUUUUAUAUAUAUGGUUUUGUUCUUUAGUAUUCUUUGCAAUCAUUGUGUCUUGGUAUCUGCCCCUUAAUGGAACAAUGCCUCAGUUUUGCAAGUUCCUAGAGAAUCAAUAUUGACUUGAUUUUGAUGCAUAUUUACAAAGAUUUAUGAUGAUGCUUCUAUGUUUAUGAAUUUUUAGGUUAGUUUAUUUUCACAUUAUUUUUAGAUUUGCGAGUUUUGGAGGUUAGUCUGUUGCACUCCUGAUGGGUUUAGAUAUUAUGAGUUUAGUUUAUUACCAGAGAGAGUAGAAUAUUAUGAAAUUUAUGGUUUUCUAUAAAUUUGUUUUGAGCAUUUGUGUUCUUCCUUGCAAAUCAACAAAUGAACUCACUCUGGGUGGUAAAAAGAGUUUAUUGAAUUACUAAAGAAUAGAAGAAUUUUACCAAAGAAUAGAAGAAUUACCAAAGAAUAGAAGAAUUACCAAAGAAUAGAAGAAUUACCAAAGAAUAGAAGAAUUACCAAAGAAUAGAAGAAUCACCAAAAAAUAGAAUUGCCAAAAAGUAGAAGAAUUACUAAAGAAUAGAAGAAUUAC